ACAUCAGCCGCCGCGGUAAUACGAAGGGUGCAAGCGUUACUCGGAAUUACUGGGCGUAAAGCGUGCGUAGGUGGUGGUUUAAGUCCGUUGUGAAAGCCCUGGGCUCAACCUGGGAAUUGCAGUGGAUACUGGGUCACUAGAGUGUGGUAGAGGAUAGUGGAAUUUCCGGUGUAGCAGUGAAAUGCGUAGAGAUCGGAAGGAACAUCUGUGGCGAAGGCGACUAUCUGGGCCAACACUGACACUGAGGCACGAAAGCGUGGGGAGCAAACAGGAUUAGAUACCCGCGUAGUCCCUGUCUCUUAUAC
rnacentral:rRNA from 1 species